GUGAACCAGCGGAGGGAUCAUU
rnacentral:rRNA from 4 species